rnacentral:rRNA from 1 species
UACGGAGGGUGCAAGCGUUAAUCGGAAUUACUGGGCGUAAAGCGUACGUAGGUGGUUCGCUAAGUCAGCUGUGAAAUCCCCGGGCUCAACCUGGGACUUGCAGUUGAAACUGGUGAGCUAGAGUAGGGUAGAGGGGUGUGGAAUUCCAGGUGUAGCGGUGAAAUGCGUAGAUAUCUGGAGGAACAUCAGUGGCGAAGGCGACCACCUGGACUGAUACUGACACUGAGGUGCGAAAGCGUGGGGAGCAAACAGG